rnacentral:pre_miRNA from 1 species
AUCAGCGACUCGUCUACCGACAGGCUAAUUAUCUUUGGUUUUCUAGCUGUAUGAGUAUUGAGACAUCAUAAAGCUAGGUUACCGGAGUUAAGGGCCGUCUUUGAU